UACGUAGGGGGCAAGCGUUGUCCGGAAUGACUGGGCGUAAAGCGCGCGCAGGCGGUUUCCCAUGUCCUGGGUGAAAGACCGGGGCUCAACCCCGGGGGUGCCUGGGAAACGGGGGAACUGGAGGGUCGGAGAGGUCAGGGGAAUUCCACGUGUAGCGGUGAAAUGCGUAGAGAUGUGGAGGAACACCAGUGGCGAAGGCGCCUGACUGGACGAAACCUGACGCUGAGGCGCGAAGGCGUGGGGAGCAAACAGG
rnacentral:rRNA from 1 species